GACGAACGCUGGCGGCGUGGAUUAGGCAUGCAAGUCGGACGGUAGGGCUUAUCGUAAGAUAGAGUUUGAGAGUGGCGAACGGGUGAGUAACACGUAGGAAUCUACCCUUAAGACGGGGACAACCCAGGGAAACUUGGGCUAAUACCGGAUGAGAGUGCGAGAGAUUGCAUUUAAAAGGAUGGCGAAAGUUGUCGCUUAGGGAUGAGCCUGCGGUCUAUUAGUUAGUUGGUGGGGUAAAAGCUCACCAAGGCGACGAUCUGUAGCUGGUCUGAGAGGACGACCAGCCACACUGGAACUGAGACACGGUCCAGACUCCUACGGGAGGCAGCAGUGGGGAAUUUUGGACAAUGGGCGCAAGCCUGAUCCAGCAAUGCCGCGUGCAGGAUGAAGGCCUUCGGGUUGUAAACUGCUUUUGUACGGAACGAAACGGUGAGCUCUAAUAAAGCUUGCUAAUGACGGUACCGUAAGAAUAAGCACCGGCUAACUACGUG
rnacentral:rRNA from 1 species